AAAAAAACUAAAAGUGGCUUUUAGGCCAAAACGUAAGAACUAAAGCUAUAAAAUUUCUAGAGGAAACCUAGAAAAGAACAACUUUGUAACCCUGAAUUAGACAUGAAUUAUAAACAAGUAGGCUUUGAUACUUUUGACUUUAUGGAAAAACUUUUGCCUUUCAAAAUCCACAGUGGGUAAAAUAUUUGAGAUGUUUAAAAUAUAUAUAAUAUCUAUCUAUCAUCUGUCUAUUUGAUUGAGGAGCUGUAUCUAGAACAUACAAAGAACAUUUUCAACCUAUUAAUAAAAAGACAAUCUCAAAAAGAAACGAAAAUUUGAGAAGACACUUCACAAAAUACUAUAGUCAUAUCCCUCAGUAUCUGUGGGGUAUUAGUUCUAGGAUCUGCCAUGGAUACCAAAAUCUGGGAUGUUCAAGUCACUUAUAUAAAAUAAUGUCAUAUUUGUGUAUACCAUACUGUCAAUCUAAAUUAUUAGAAACGAUUAGAGCAAUAAAUUCUAAUACAGUGAUUUUAUUUGGGAGCAAGCAGAAACAAUUAUAAUCUAGGAUGUACAACAUUAGCAAGCCACGUAUGCAUCCAAAGAGGCAAGGAUAAAGAGAAUCUUUUUUUGGAAAAAGGAGAGGUCCAUGUAAGCUGCUUGGAAACAGAGUUCAUUGGUUCUGGAGGCUCAAAGCCAGAGUUGGCAUCAUUUCAUUGGUGAAGAUAUCAUCACUGAAGUGACACGAAGUAACAAGUAAAGAACAAUAUGAGAAGAGAGACCACUGAAGAAUGAAAAAACUUUGUAUUUUAUCUUUUUAACAGCACAUUUUUUUCAUGCUAUUUGAACAAGGGGCUGCACAUGAUAAUUUUGCCCUGGGCCCUGCAAUUUGGACUACUAGCCCUGAUUUGGGGGGACAUUUUUGUAAACUUAACAGUCUAUUUCCAUAGGCCUUAUAAAUUCUGUGAAGUACCUAAAAUUCCUUUAUUAAUCCCUUUCAUUUAAAAAUAAAUAGAGUGACAUCA